AUCCAGCUGAUGUGUCUUAAAUAGGACGAAACAUGAGUCUUGAAU
rnacentral:hammerhead_ribozyme from 1 species